CUAAAACUACAGCCCUGCAGUCUUUUGAUAUAAAGUAGCCCUAGUUCUGCUCUUCAUUUUUGUGUAUUAGUCAUUUUUUAGGUCUUAAAGAAUUUGUGAUUGUGGGUUUGAAAAUGCUUUAUUUCUAUGAAGUUUGAGAGUUUGUUUGGAGCUGUUUGAGUUAUUGGAAUACUAUUCUAUUGAGGACUUAUUGUUGAUCUGAUGUUACUAUUGUUGCUGAUUUCGUCUAAGUUUUAACUCAACUUCUUGAUUUUAUUUUUCCUUAUUCAGGCACACACCCUGAUACCAAAUGUAAAGGCCGA
rnacentral:lncRNA from 1 species